rnacentral:rRNA from 1 species
UUGGAGGGCAAGUCUGGUGCCAGCAGCCGCGGUAAUUCCAGCUCCAAUAGCGUAUAUUAAAGUUGUUGCAGUUAAAAAGCUCGUAGUUGAAUUUCGGGAUUAGUACGCUGGUCGUGCCUUCGGUACGUACUGGUGUUACUGAUUUCUACCUUCUGACGAACCAUCAUGUCAUUAAUUUGGUGUGGUGGGGAAUCAGGACUGUUACUUUGAAAAAAUUAGAGUGUUUAAAGCAGGCUCGCGCUUGAAUACAUUAGCAUGGAAUAAUGAAAUAGGACGUUGAUCCUAUUUUGUUGGUUUCUAGGAUUGACGUAAUGAUUAAUAGGGAUAGUUGGGGGCAUUAGUAUUCAAUUGUCAGAGGUGAAAUUCUUGGAUUUAUUGAAGACUAACUACUGCGAAAGCAUUUGCCAAGGAUGUUUUCAUUAAUCAAGAACGAAAGUUAGGGGAUCGAAGACGAUCAGAUACCGUCGUAGUCUUAACCAUAAACUGUGCCGACUAGGGAUCGGAUGAUGUUAUUUUUAAUGGCUCAUUCGGCGCCUUACGGGAAAC